GAGAAGUGGUGGGGAUGUAUCCUCCUUUAUCAUAAGCUUAACUAACUUGUUUUGAGAAGCCUGGAGUCGUGAUUUUACAGUAGAUGUUAUGGAUUUGGAAUCAUAGAAUAUUAGUCCGAGUCUCUGCUCUGUUACUUAACGGGCUCUAUUACUUUACUGACUAAACUCGGACUAAUUUAUUUUACCCCUCUAAGCCUCAGUUUACUCAUGUGUGAAACAGGGUUAAUUUAAUAUUUCUAAUGGCCUGACAGGUCAACUGAGUUCUUGGGCUUCCUGUUCCAUAUAUGUGGAAGCUAUUAUUUUGACCUUACGUGGAUGGGAUUGGCAAAUUAGGAACCACAGCAGAUGACCUAAGAUAAGCAAGGACGGAAAACACCUUUUCUUUUAGCUAGAUACUUACAGGUAACAUCAUGAACCCUGAAUUUCCCAUGAAGGUUGGUGGAAGAGUAGCCCUUUUUCAGCUAGGCAGUAUGUUGAUUGUUCCCAUCUCAACUACUGAAGUUGGGCUCAGUUAGGAGGACUGCAAAAUUUAUCAAACUAUCUCCAGCCAGUUAUUCAUUCAGAUGAUUGCUGCCUUUUCCAGUCAGAACAGGCCUCCCAGCCACCAAGCUGAGGUUGACUUUUUAAGCUUGUUGACCUGGCUACCAAAACAAGUUGUGGAAGCCCUUCUGCUUUACCUGCUCAAGCAAGAAGGGGCAGCACAAGUAUACCUGCUGACAAGGCAGAGUGCAGCAAAUGAAGAAGAAAAGAAGACCAAAGGCUGAUCUGCCCCCACAGCAGCAGAAAACUCUAAGCAAAGCAGUAGCCAACUUUAGUUGGUCAUGGAUAGUCCAAGCUUUCUUUCAGGAAUACCCUCAGCCACAGUAUGUACCCAUACACCAAAAGGAAAGAAGCCUCGAUAUGUGCCCUAGCUUCCCCCACCUCCUCCCCCACCAGAUGGCCACCGCAGCCCCUCCAGCAAGCUCUCCCUCAAGGUAGUUUCCCUGAUAAAAGUUAAAAAAUAGAUUUAAUCAAAACAUUAACUGUCCAGGAUGAUUGCUAUUCGCUCAUUUUUUCCUUAAGUGUCAGCUGAAGCAUACUAUUCUCCAUACCUCCAAUUUUAAAAUGUGUUUCUUCUAUAAACAUUGUCAGGUUCUUAUUUUUGGUCCAUUGUACUAUCCAUUCACAUUCAAAAUUCUAAUUGCUUGUUGUGUAUGUGUAUACACAGACACACACACACACAGACACACACAGACACACACACACAUAUUUCCCUAUAUUCCAGGGCUUCAAAGAAGUUCAGAAAAAGCAGGCAUUCUCCAGGGGCUGGACUAUCCCCCACCCCAAGGGCUUCAGUACUGUUGACCCCAGCUCAGCACCAGGUAAGCUGUCAGACCUCUAUGGCCUCCAGCUGCCACCACCUGAGGUCUCAGCACAUAGAGACCGACGAGGUCGCUGCACCCCAGCAAAAGAAGCUUGGGUCAGUGCCCCGUGCUUAAAUCCAGGAAAUAGGCAAACACAAGAAAAAGCAGAAAAGGCUGAUUCAAAUCACCAAUUCAGAUCAAAACACAAAUUCAGAGGAGGCAG